rnacentral:lncRNA from 1 species
GAGGGCUUAGGGCAAUGGUUUUCAGCCCCGUAAAACAGUUCCUUGUGUUGUGGUGAGCCCCAAACACACAAUUAUUUCAUUCCUACUUCAUACUGUUACGAAUCAUAAUGUAAAUAUCUAAUAUUCAAUCCCUGUGGGAGUCUCAAGCCAUGGGCUGAGAACCGCUGGCUUAGAGAGUAUGAAUAGGAAAUAAAGAUGACACUGAAAAUAC